GAAAAACGGUUAAGUUUUCCAUAUUCUGGUAGUUUUGACCUUUUUCACAGUGCGGCAAUUGGACUUGAAUCCUGAGUUCCAUUAGUAUUUAGAAUCAUCGACUUGACUCUCGAGUUUCAUUCGAAAAAGAGAAUGUGGUAACAGAACGAAAAUCAAGGACGAUUUAUGCAAAACACGUAAAUCAAAAAAAGAACGAAGACCGGGAAGGCAAUUUUUGUAACCUAGUAAGAAAAUAAUUACAAUAAAAAUAAAAAAAAUGGCGAAUUUUUGCAGAAUAAAUUAUUACCUUCUCCCCAUAAAACUGCAUUUCUUUUUCUUCUACGGGGGUGUAGCGACAGGAAGCUUUCUUGGCGGCAUAGGAUUUAACAAGCUGAGCGGACGCCACCCAUUCCUAGCUGCCGCUGCUGUCAGUUUUGUGUGCGUCCCAGUUCUUUUAACAGCACGUUUCCUUCUGCGAAAUCGUAUAAUAUCAUUCACCGAAGAUGAAAAACGUAACAUCGAAGCCACAACUCAGAAGAGAUAUGACGUCGAACCUCCUCCUGACGUCACGCCUCAAUUAUCUUGACGGUCUUUUGUAUCUUAGCACAUUAGAUCCAUUUCUGAAUGCAUCAUCCCACACAGCCACAAAUAUCCACAACACAUCUUUCAGAUAUCUCGUAGAUAAAAAAAAACUGGAUAUUGCCAUAUCCGUCAGAGAUAUCUGAGCAUGGUGCGUAGUGUUUUU